UAAUUAAAAAUCUUCAUAGAAUAAAAGAUGAGAGGUGUGCUUUUCUUGGUUUUUUUGUUGUCUCUUCAUUGUCUGAUCCAAGUGAGUGAGACCAAAGCAGCAGCGAGUGCCAAACACUGUCACUGCUGGUGGAGAAGAUGCUAUUGUCACCGAGAUCUACAGAACUUUGUAAAGGAUCAAGAAAAAAGAAUGGAAGAAGAAAUUGAAGCAGAAGCAGAUGAGUAGACCUUUCUGAGAACCGGACGGACAUCUUAUUUCUUAUUGAGAACAAAAGGUUCCUGUAUUUUUCUUUGUAAAACAAUACCUGGUAGUAAUUUCUGCUGUCCAUUAAAUAAUUUUCCAGCAUUCAAA